rnacentral:rRNA from 1 species
CUCAAGGACCGUAAAGUGUGAACCUGGGCUCAGUAUGUCUGUAAUAGGGUAAACCGGUAGAGUUUGAUCCUUGGGUUCAGAAAGACUGAACAAGGGAUCCGUAACCCGUGAUAAUGCUUCCCAAAACCGGAGGAUGGCACCUGGAAACAGAUGCUAGUACCCCAUAACAACUUGGACCGCAUGGUCCGAGUUUGAAAGAUGGCUUCGGCUAUCACUUUUGGAUGGUCCCGCGGCGUAUUAGCUAGAUGGUGGGGUAACGGCUCACCAUGGCAAUGAUACGUAGCCGACCUGAGAGGGUAAUCGGCCACAUUGGGACUGAGACACGGCCCAAACUCCUACGGGAGGCAGCAGUAGGGAAUCUUCCACAAUGGACGAAAGUCUGAUGGAGCAACGCCGCGUGAGUGAAGAAGGGUUUCGGCUCGUAAAACUCUGUUGUUAAAGAAGAACAUAUCUGAGAGUAACUGUUCAGGUAUUGACGGUAUUUAACCAGAAAGCCACGGCUAACUACGUGCCAGCAGCCGCGGUAAUACGUAGGUGGCAAGCGUUGUCCGGAUUUAUUGGGCGUAAAGCGAGCGCAGGCGGUUUUUUAAGUCUGAUGUGAAAGCCUUCGGCUCAACCGAAGAAGUGCAUCGGAAACUGGGAAACUUGAGUGCAGAAGAGGACAGUGGAACUCCAUGUGUAGCGGUGAAAUGCGUAGAUAUAUGGAAGAACACCAGUGGCGAAGGCGGCUGUCUGGUCUGUAACUGACGCUGAGGCUCGAAAGUAUGGGUAGCAAACAGGAUUAGAUACCCUGGUAGUCCAUACCGUAAACGAUGAAUGCUAAGUGUUGGAGGGUUUCCGCCCUUCAGUGCUGCAGCUAACGCAUUAAGCAUUCCGCCUGGGGAGUACGGCCGCAAGGCUGAAACUCAAAGGAAUUGACGGGGGCCCGCACAAGCGGUGGAGCAUGUGGUUUAAUUCGAAGCUACGCGAAGAACCUUACCAGGUCUUGACAUACUAUGCAAAUCUAAGAGAUUAGACGUUCCCUUCGGGGACAUGGAUACAGGUGGUGCAUGGUUGUCGUCAGCUCGUGUCGUGAGAUGUUGGGUUAAGUCCCGCAACGAGCGCAACCCUUAUUAUCAGUUGCCAGCAUUAAGUUGGGCACUCUGGUGAGACUGCCGGUGACAAACCGGAGGAAGGUGGGGAUGACGUCAAAUCAUCAUGCCCCUUAUGACCUGGGCUACACACGUGCUACAAUGGAUGGUACAACGAGUUGCGAACUCGCGAGAGUAAGCUAAUCUCUUAAAGCCAUUCUCAGUUCGGAUUGUAGGCUGCAACUCGCCUACAUGAAGUCGGAAUCGCUAGUAAUCGCGGAUCAGCAUGCCGCGGUGAAUACGUUCCCGGGCCUUGUACACACCGCCCGUCACACCAUGAGAGUUUUACCACCCAAAGUCGCUGGGGUCCCGUUAAGUCGGUACCAGCGUCCCGUGGGUCCUU